GCUCAUGCCCUGCGGCCCCGCCUUCCCUCUUACAAGUUACAACUUCGAAUUUUUUUCCUUUUUUUGGUUUAUUUUUUCUCUCUUUUUCUUCGAUUUUUUUCUUUCUUCUUCUUCGUCAGUUUUUUUUUUUCUUCCUUCCUAAGUGAUUCUCAUUCUCAGAGUUGAAGUAAACCAUUCGAACAGUCGAACUUACACCUACAUACAUAUAGUGGCCCCUGCAAUCAUGUGCUUUAUCUGGCCGACAACAUUCUCUUCCUCUUCGUCAUCUUCUCCGUCGUCCCUCUCCCUCUCGUUUUCGCAGAGGUUCUCAGAUGGGCCGGCCUCGACAGCUACAAGAUCCAGCCCAAAGUCUGAUUGCCCUUCUAUGAAAUGCUCAAGUGCUACAAGGAUGUUAUGCGCAUGUUCCUUCUCGUUGUUGGCUAUUUUCAGCUCGUCUCUUACCCUCCUAUCCAGUGAUGACUUCCCCUGGUGGUGCUGAGUACCACGAUUACCAACACUACGUUGGAGGACAAAGCUUGAUCAAUUCCAACAGGGAUACUGGUAUCAGAAGAAGAACCUUAUGAAGGUAAACCUGCAAAACCUUUUCUCCUGAGACAAUUAGUUGCUUCCAGGACUACUUUCACGCUUUCCCCAUAUUUUGCUUACGGUCUUAGGCAACCGCCUCUGACCCCAACCGUGCAUCAUCUGUCAGUUAUAAAAUUGAAUUGGCAUGACAGGUCUUUUUAUCUUGGAUUUUGCAUUUGUUUCUCCCGUCUAACCAAUCUCGGUGAUCCAUAUCCGUUGAAAGUGGAAAGUUUUGGUGUCCAAAACAGUGGUUCAUAUAAUAAUUCUACUGUAGAUCUUAAAUCUGAUUAGCACGGAGACUGCGUAACCUUGCCUGCAGAAAUGCCCUUUCAGUAUUGUUCUCGCUGGUGACAACUCUACAAAACCUCUGAUUUUCAAGUUGACAUCACCAUGCUAGGGUGGAAAGUAGAAGCUUUUAGUGGCUCAGGAGCAGAUUAACUUUGGGUUUUUCAGAGUUGUGAUUUUGGGUAGCUUGGGGGAGGGGGAUGGGAUUCAAAAUCAGUUAGAUUGUAAGGUUCAGAGUCCAGACUUGUGUUUUUGGCAGUAUGUUCAAAUUAUAACAUCAUGAACUUGUGCAGUGUUUGUGAUCCCGAAAUUUAAUUGCCGGUGUUUCUUUAGAGCAUGAAAUCAAAAUAUGAAAUGUACACA